CCGAAUCAUCUAAUCUAAGGUAUAUCUUUAUUAGUAACUAUAUAAUUUAUUCGGUUAUUAAAUGUGUGCAUUACUUAAUCCUGCUUAAUGGAGUUUUCAUUUUAAGAUAUGAAAGAUAGAAAGCACGUAUGAUUGUGCUGACAGACGAUGUAAACCUUUGAAGAAUUCGAAACGAAAUUAUUUAGCUAAAGGCAGAUCGGUUCAAGACCAUGAUAAGGACCUUUAGAACCGCGUCCCAUCUCUCGGUACUUAUCAUGAUAUUACAUAGAGAUGCUGAAUACCCUAAAGAUAAAUAAAACAGCUUGUUUAUAUACAUAACGAUACGGUGUUGAUGGUACCAACUAUUGAAGAUCAAAGUAGUUGUAUAUACAUGCACAACAUUGCACUUUUGUUAUGUAGUUAAAUACACUGAGCUCUAAUAGCAAUACCAACCAUUUCACAGUUAUAUAUCUGUAUAAGAUGGUAAGGUGUCUUUAUAGUUAUGAAUGAAGUAAAUAGCAAUACAUGCACUCGGGGGGUGGGGGCGGGGGAAUAUUCUAUUCAUUUUCGAAAAUGUUAACGGGAAACUAUUUUGUAUCGUAAAAGUAAAUGUUAUAAAUAUUGCCACUUACAAAUGUAUUUGUAUACCUUCAACAAUAAAAUAAAUUGAGAUAAUUCUUACUUUACAUGAAGAUGGCAACAGUAAAAUUUAUACAAGUUGCGUCAGUGGAGUUAUUAUCUUUGGUUAUUGGUAGAUUGGUUGUCUUAGACUUAAGAUUUGCUUGUGUUUUGGCAGAUCCAAGAUUUGUCUGUUAAAGUUUCAUUUGAAAAAAAAAAACUAAUGGUGUUCACCCAGAAAUGAGUGGACAGUUUUGAUAAUACCGAUAUGGUGACUCUCAGAGUAAAAUGUUUUAACUUCAAUACACAAUUAUUUAGACUCACUGCAGCUGAUAGGAAAUAAUCGAUUUAUCAUUAAGAGUAUCCUAAAAAUUAAAUGAUUUUUUUAAAGUAAAGAGAUUGGAAAAUAGAUAUUCAACUGAUAUUCUGUGAAAUCUUUACAAUAUGUAGUUUGUUUUUAUUUUUUAGAGGUCAAUUUACGAAAUUAGGAAUCAUUAUUUUAUAUAUAAUUAGAUAAAAAGAAAUCCGCGGAGCCACCGGGAUAUUUUUUGUAAUAGUUUAACAAAUUUUAAAUACUGAAAGACGAGCGUUUUGUUUUCAGAGAGCUGAAUUUACCAAAUUAUUCAUUUGAUUAGAAUGAAUUUACAACAUUUUAUUGUAAAUAGAAUGGUUGUAGAAAUACUGUUCAUGUUGAGACGUAUGAGUCGUAUUUGCCUAACCCCAAACACUGUUUUACUCUUUGGCCAAAAUACAUAAAUGAAAAUAAAAAAAAAUGAAAAUAAAUGAAAAUGGACUCUGACUAACUCCUAGACUAUUGCUUCUAUAGACUAUAAUAAGUUGGGGGGGGGGGUCUUUCUUGUCACUCUCAGUUGUUUUUAGAUAACAGUACAGAACUGUAUAAAAUUUGCAAUACUAACGUAUACUUGAAAUAAAUGAAAAUAUAUGAAAUGUCGUGAAAUUUAAAAUAAUCGUCGGAUAACUGCUUUGAGAUUUUAUCUUAAAUGACAAAUAAAAAAAAUAACUGCAUUGAUAUUGUCCGUCUGUCGUCAUUUUUAUGCAAAUCGUUUUAAUGUCCGCCAUGAAAAAAGCCAUAUAACAAAAUAUUACAAGUUCCUUCUCUCUGUCGUACAGAUAUCUUUACAUAUGAUCAGCGUGUGCCUCAAGGGCCCAAUUCAACUUGAAAUUAUAGUGCAGAUAAAUUUGAUGUUUCUAAGAUAUACUUUAUUUUAUGAUAAUGUUGAUAUUUAUGAUAUUUAAUGUAUAUAUUUUGAUAUGUUUGGGUCUGAAGUGAGAAAAAAUACUAUUAAUUUAAGGAUGGCACUUCUCCGAGCACUUCUCUGGUCAUUGAAAACAGGUGCACGAUUCUGUUUGAAGUCGAGGUAUGAGUAAUAUAGACGUGUUUUAUUGGAUGGAGAUUCAUAGAGGCAUGGGGUUGUACCAUAAUCUCUAAACUCGAGACUGUAAAUACUUCUGGCGUUAUUACUCCCACAUUUGACCAUUACACUUGAAUUAAGGGCAUCCGAUACAGUUUUGAUCCCGUAUUUACAGUUUGAUGAAAAUUUCCAUAUAGGCUAUUUUUUGUCUGAUUAAAUCAAAUAUGUUAUAAAAAAUAUACCAUGUGCAACUUUUUGAGUAAUAUGAGUUCGAAAUUUUGUAUAUUUGCUCAAAAUUCGGAUUUGUGGCCGUAUUUUCCCUUUCGUAAGAAAACCAUAACCUUUUUUGUUUUAAAAGAUUGUUUUUGUUAAAUAAUUUGUUAUUUCUGCAUUUUAUAAGUAAAAAAAAACUUAUGCAUUUUCUAUUCAGAAAUAACUCACAUUUAUCAAAUGGUCAUGAAUUGAGAUAAAAAACCGUAUCUUUUUGCUGUAUAUUUAUCAAAAUUAAAAAAAUUGCACUAUUUACAGUUUUAUUAAAUUUUGUCCACAUAAUCUCCCUGCAAAAUGAAACAAAAUGUAGUUUUAAAGAAUAGGGGUCCAUGCACUCGUUUUCAAAUUAAAUCAGUUUGAAUGAUAAAAAUCAGUCGAAAAAUGCAUCUUUUCCCGAUAUGUCAUAGUUUGACGUCGCGAAAAUAACAUUUUACGUUAGCAACGUCAUUACCUCCCCUGUAACUGUAUCGUAUGCCCUUAAGCAAUAUUAAUCACAUGACCAAGUUUAAUUCACUAUUUUUACAUAAGAAAAUGUCUGUACUAAGUCAGGAAUAUGACAGUUAUUUUCCAUUCGUUUGAUGUGUUUGAGCUUUUGAUUUUUGCCAUUUGAUUAGAAACCUUUCGUUUUGAAUUUUCAGUAUUUUUUGAGUUCAGUAUUUUUGUGAAUUUACUUUUUGAACGUGCAAUAUAGUAUUUUACCAAAACGCGGUUGUAUGAAAUGACCAGCUUUAAAUUGGUAGACACUUCUUUUUACUGCGAACAUCAACGCCAGUUAAUAUUUAGUCUUGUUAUCCAAAGAAUUUACUCUUAUCAAAACUCUGAUAAAGAAAAGAAAUGUAUGUCCAUCCUGGUCAAAUUUAAAAAUUCUGAUACUAUCAACUAUUUGACAUUUCCGGUUUUAAACUUUUUAUUGUAGAUGUGUCUUAAUUUUUAUAUUACAUAUAUAACAGUUUUUGUGUAUACAAAUAUAUCUGUCUAUGUCCUUAUGUUUUACAGUUAGCUUUUUUGCUUGUGAAUAAACCAUUUGUCAUUCCGGGACCUUUUAUAGCUGACUGCAGUAUGGGUUUUACUCAUGUUUGAAGGCCGUACGGUGACCUAUAGUUGUUGAUUUCUGUGUCAUUUGAUAUCUUGUGGAGAGUUUCCUCACAAUCACACUUCAUCUCUAUAUUUCUUUAAAUGUAAUAUUAUCAUCUGUGCAUGAAAAUAUGAGCUAAAGUUUACUCAACAGUAAAUGUGAAUUCAUUUUUUAUUACUACUAAUGAUAUUGUAUAUCUCAAUAAACAUAUAUUAUUAUUCAUAAAUACAUAAUGCCAAAGUAAAAUCUUAAACAGAUCGUCAAAGUAUUUCAUUUUAAUCAUUUUUCAGGUGCACUUUAGCAGUAAAGAUAAGGUACGAUACUGGUUCCUGGUUCUCACGACGUUAGAUAAUCUCCAACUGAUCCUUAUCUUUCGGUAAAACAUUUUUGACAGUCUUGAGCUACUGACAGAAAGCCAUGGCAGUUGACAUAACUUUAGUAUAUUACAUUUAUCAUUAUAACUUGUAUUUUUGUGAUAUUGAACAGACCACG
rnacentral:lncRNA from 1 species